rnacentral:rRNA from 1 species
UACGUAGGAGGCAAGCGUUUGUCCGGAGUUACUGGGCGUAAAGGGCCCGCAGGCGGUGGAGUAAGUUUGGAGUGACAGUUCCCAGCUUAACCGGGAAAGGACUUCGAAAACUGCUCGACUUGAGGACUGGAGAGGAAGGCGGAAUUCCGGGUGGAGCGGUGAAAUGCGUAGAGAUCCGGAGGAACACCAAAGGCGAAGGCAGUGUCCUGGGGAGUACCUGACGCUCAGGUGCGAAAGCCAGGGGAGCGAACGGG